UACGUAGGGUGCAAGCGUUGUCCGGAAUUAUUGGGCGUAAAGAGCUCGUAGGCGGUUUGUCGCGUCUGCUGUGAAAACCUCAGGCUCAACCUGGGGCUUGCAGUGGGUACGGGCAGACUAGAGUGCGGUAGGGGUGACUGGAAUUCCUGGUGUAGCGGUGGAAUGCGCAGAUAUCAGGAGGAACACCGGUGGCGAAGGCGGGUCUCUGGGCCGUAACUGACGCUGGAGGAGCGAAAGCCGUGG
rnacentral:rRNA from 1 species